rnacentral:misc_RNA from 1 species
GCUUGGAUAUGGGGGUUGCGGGCUUCUCAGAAGUCAGCUCUCCUUAAAUGCAUUAGCGAAACCUUUGUUGACCAUCUCUGGUGUGAUAAUUAUCUACGCCAUUGGGAAGCAGCAUUAAAAUUGGUUUAGCUUCUAACCGUCUUAUAGACAAUUUCUUGACAUUUGACCUCAAAUCAGGUAGGACUACCCGCUGAACUUAA